AGCAGAUCUGAAGCACAAAAUCCCACUUGUCCCGUUUUCUCUCUUCCCCGACUUCUUUUCGUUACCUCGCAGGCCCGCACCCACUCGCCGUCGCAGCGGCAGCCCCCACGUCUCCCGCCCCACCCCCCUAAAAAUGACCUCGACCGCAGCGGCGGCGGCGGCAGCGGCGACAGGCUAUGCGUCCGAAGCUCCGUCCGGCCUGCGUUUACCGGCGAGCUGGCCCGCUCGUGUGCUGCCCUCGUCGAGAAAUUGAGGGAUCGUGAUGGUGAGAUCCCCCCUCCUCUGCUUCUGUUUUCUGAAUAAAUCCUCUGUUUCUGUUUCCUCGAAUUGAACGAAUGGUUGCGGACGGCAAUGCUAUCCGUGCUCAGUUUAGAGCCGGUGCUGUCAGUGCUGAACGGAUUAAGAGAUGGUAUGUCACUGUCACUAGUUAUUCAACAGUUUUCAACUCUCUGCGGGUUGCAGUUCAGUGCCCACCUCAUGAGAUUUAUGUUUGCCCCUCACUUUCUCUGUCUAUAGGUUAACAAUCUAAAGAAACAUGGCUAAAGGGGGACAGAUUUCUCCCUUAGCAUAAAGUUAUACUCGAGUUGAGACAUGUUAGGAGCUAGGGUUCUGCCGGUUCUAGGAUGAAGAUUGUAGGGGAAGGAUGGAGGAGGACGAGGGCGAGGGCGGGGCGGCCGGCGGCUGGGCGCCGUCCUUGCACGGUGGAGGCAGCGGCGGUUUUGGCAGGAGGGAGAUGGUGCAGGGGAGGCGGCGGCUAGGGUUAGGUCUCUUGACUCCCUAAGAAAGCCGAGCAAUUAUGAUUGCUUCUUGCUUAAUCUCAAAAGGGUCCUUACAUGAGUUUAUAUAAUCCUCCUAAUGAUAUAAUUGGGCUAAGCCCCUAACACGAUAAGAUAACCGGGCCAGUCCCCUAACUGCCUAGGCUGUAGUAUAUGCUGCUCAUAACAUUUCUCCCCGCGUGCACAAACAGCUUGUCCUCGAGCUGGAAGGCGGGGAAGCGCUUGCGGAACUCCUCGAGGUGAUCAACCGUCGCCAAACACCUCCGCGGCAGCUUGGGCGGGCAGGUUGCCGAGCUCGGCGGCGGUGGCGUCGGCCUCAAUCUAGUCCGCAGCCUCCAGAUAGAAGAGUCGCGGGCAACGUGGCCGGGUACGUAGGGCUCGUCGCAGUUGAAGCACAACCCUUGGCGACGACGCUCGAGUUGCUCGGCCGAGGUGAGCCGGCGGAACGGGCACGCCGCGGUCGCGGCGAGGGGUGCCGUGGAAGCCUGAGCAGGCCAACCCUGCGCGGGAACGUCCGGCUCGGUUGGCGGUCUAGUGGCCCGGGACGGUGAUGCCUGCUGGAUGGCCACCGCGCGGCGCUUGAACGCGCGGGCGUAGUACAUGGCCAUCUGUGCGACGCCCGGAAGGUGAUAUGAGGCGAGCCAGAUACGUUCCGACACGAGCGUGCGUUGCCCGCGGAUGAAUUGCUCACACUAGUUGAGCCAGUGGAGGGGGUCCUCGGCGCCGUCGUAGGUGGCGAAGUCGAGCUUGGCGAAGCGCGGCGGUGUCUGAGCAUGACUGCCAUCUGCGUACGGCUCGGUGGUACGGAGCAGCAAAGAGGAUGGCGUCGGUCCGGUGUGCACCGGUGGUCCGCUAGAAAGCGGUGGCCCGUCAAAGCCAGCGUGGAAACCCGCGGAGUCGGAGGGCCCGCCGUACGAUAGGGAGGGCGUCGGCUGGUUCGCGGCCAUGGUGUAGACUGGCAGCGGUGACGUCCCGGCCAACCAGGACGGAAGCUGUGACGGCGAGGGCGGGAACUGCACUUGCUGAAUCGGCACGCCCGCCGGCACGGUCGUAGUUAGCCCGAUGCUGGCGGUGGAGGCGCCUGCAACGGCAGCUGCUGCUGCAUGGAAACGGCGGAGGCGGCGGGCGCCGCGAUGGCCGCGGCCGGCCAUUGUGGCCAGAGCGGGGCGGUGGCGGGGGUUGGCUGCAGCUGCAGCGGGGGAUGUAGCGGGCCGACCAGCACCGCAGUGGCCCUUGGGUGCGGCGGCUGCCAGGGCUGCCAACGCGGUGGCGACGGUAGGUGCAGCUUUGGCUGCAGCGGCCCGGCGAGCACGGCGGAGGCCGCCGGGUGCGGCGACUGCCACGGCAGCAGCAUCGGCCCGGUGGCGAUGGUUGGUGAUGCGGCCGGCGGCAGCUCGUAGGGCCCGGCCAAGUAGAGGCAGAUCCCCUGGACGGCUGUGACGAGAUCGUUGAGGACCCCGGUGAUCUCCGGGGUGUAGGCGGCGGCCGGUGGUGCGGUGGAGGGCACCGUCAUCUGGGUGGUGGCUGCGUCGGGGAAUGCGACCAGCGGCGCGGACGGGGAGGCCAACGGCGCGGUGGAGAGGGCCAGCGUCGCGGUGGUGACGGUCGGCAGCGGAAGCGUUGGGAUGGGCGACGGCGAAGACAUGAUCGGAACUGAGCUACCUGAUACCAAGGUGUUAGGAGCUAGGGUUCUGCCGGUUCUAGGAUGAAGAUUGUAGGGGAAGGAUGGAGGAGGGCGAGGGCGCGGCGGCCGGCGGCUGGGCGCCGUCCUUGCGUGGUGGAGGCGGCGGCGGCUUUGGCAGGAGGGAGAUGGCGCAGGGGAGGAGACGGCUAGGGUUAGGUCUCCCGGCUCCCUAAGGAAGCCGAGCAAUUAUAUGAUUGCUUCUUGCUUAAUCUCAAAACGGUCCUUAUAUGAGUUUGUAUAAUUCUCCUAAUGAUAUAAUUGGGCUGUAAGAUAACUGAGUCAGGCCCCUAACUGCCUGGGCUGUAGUAUAUGCCGCUCAUAACAAGACACUUGUUUGUGGACGGACGGAGUACUAGCGUAAAAAUCGCUUUACAUUUUGAGACAAAGGGAGUAGAAGUGAGACCUCUCCACGAUUAAACACAGAUAGCAUCCCAGUGGAGUCCCGGUGAGAUUCGAACGCGGGUGCGCGGGUUGAACAAACUGAACUCCUCCUUGCCGCUUAGCUAGCGCUCAGUUCUCUGUAGGUUAAAAAUCAUCUGUUAUUUGCUUUCUGUUAUGUUUUGUAAAAAAAACAUGAUCAUUGAUGAUAUGUUACUACAUGCUAAAGUGCAACUGCAAUAUAAAUAGAAACCUGAACUCGCAUCGGCACAGACUUGAACUCAGUUGCUUUGUACAUUGACUUCCCCGUCCAAUUGAGAUUGGUUCCCUGGGUUUGGUGUUCUCAUGACUUAGAGCAAUGCUUCUUUACCCGGGGAAUUUGGUACAUAUACGGCUCCAAGGUUAAUCUGGUAGGUUAUUGCUGACUCUUGUCAGGAUCGCUUUGUUAGCAAACAGUAAUGUAAUUCUUCCGUUAUUUAAAGGAGCCCAAAGGCAGUCAUUCUAAAAUCUAGAGAGGACACUAUCAGCGUCAGGCAAUGACUGAGACAUUUCUGGUCUGGUAUUACAAGUUACAACUCAUAAUGCUUACGUCCUUGAGAUCAAUAAUCACCUUCAGGAGGAACCCUAGAGUGUUUCUGCAAAUUCAGGAAAUAGCCGUAGCAGAAAAUCAGCUGGAGUCCGGCCAAGAAGUAGGCGAGCGGCUCCAUGAUACUCCAAGAGAACUCCCAGAACGUAAGGUGGAAGAAGAGGGCAAACUGGAGUAUGAAUGAUGCGAAGCCAAAACAUAGAAUCCGCACGGCAUGCCUGUGCGCCAUGCCGUUGAUCUCUUGCAUCCUCGUCUGAAGUUGUCUGAAUUCGUCUUUUCUCACGUCGUCCUCUGGGGCGAGCGCAAACGGCAUGGCCCUUCUGAUAAGGUCCGCAAUCUGCAAAUGGAACAAUUCAUUGAUAUUAUCCCCCUGACAAUGUUUCUGGAACUGGUUGUAUUUCCGUUCAUUUGCAGUGAAAAGGGGUAAAGCCCGGUUCCAAAAAGAAACAUUGAUAUUAUUCAUUUUAUAUGAAACAGCUAUUGGGACUUUUUAA